rnacentral:tRNA from 1 species
GGGGCCGUAGCUCAGUUGGGAGAGCGCGACGUUCGCAAUGUCGAGGUCGGGGGUUCGAACCCCCCCGGCUCCACCA